rnacentral:rRNA from 1 species
AUUGAACGCUGGCGGCAUGCCUAACACAUGCAAGUCGAACGGUAACGCGAGGAGCUUGCUCCUUGGCGACGAGUGGCGGACGGGUGAGUAAUACUUGGGAAUCUGCCCAGUAGUGGGGGACAACAUUCGGAAACGGAUGCUAAUACCGCAUACGCACUACGGUGGAAAGUGGGGGACCUUCGGGCCUCACGCUAUUGGAUGAGCCCAAGUCGGAUUAGCUUGUUGGUGAGGUAAUGGCUCACCAAGGCGACGAUCCGUAGCUGGUCUGAGAGGACGAUCAGCCACACUGGGACUGAGACACGGCCCAGACUCCUACGGGAGGCAGCAGUGGGGAAUAUUGGACAAUGGGCGCAAGCCUGAUCCAGCAAUGCCGCGUGUGUGAAGAAGGCCUGCGGGUUGUAAAGCACUUUCAGUAGAGAAGAAAAGCUUACGGUUAAUACCCGUGAGUCUUGACGUAACCUACAGAAGAAGCACCGGCUAACUCCGUG